UUAAAUUGAAGAGUUUGAUCAUGGCUCAGAUUGAACGCUGGCGGCAGGCCUAACACAUGCAAGUCGAACGGUAACAGGAAGCAGCUUGCUGUUUCGCUGACGAGUGGCGGACGGGUGAGUAAUGUCUGGGAAACUGCCUGAUGGAGGGGGAUAACUACUGGAAACGGUAGCUA
rnacentral:rRNA from 1 species